CAGCACAGGGCCACACCAAGAAAAGAUGGAGAGAGAAAGAAGCUAUGGUGUAAAAAACAGUAAUGAGGCUGACCCCUUCUGAGCGAGUGCAGUGCUGAUCUAAUUGAAGUUUGACUGAAGUGGAAAGAAUGGCAGUUCCACAUCAUGACUGUCAACUGAGCAUCUCAGCUGAGCCAUGGAGCAGGCUAUACCUUCUCUGGGUAAUGGAGGGAGAUUGCCUGAAAAAGAAUUUGCCCAUGCAAUUUCCAGAGUAACAACAGGCUUAGGGGGAAAAAAAUCUGUUUAAAAUGAUGCACUUUUCAAUUAUCAUGUGUCUUGUAUACUGCUAAUGGUACUGCUUGUCAAUUAUUAUUAAUGAGGAUAAUUUUAAUAACAGUCAGAUUAAUCUGUGAUGUCACUUAACCAACUAUUAAUAAACACGCCAUAGGUCUUCCCUUUUUCUCUUGAUGGCACAGUCUUGGUGAUUCUUGUAAAUGUGAAGCUGCUUCUGGGUCAACGCAACAAAUCAGUGUAUUGGGGACAGGUGGUGAAGCCAGGUGGGAAGACAGCCGUCUUCCUCAAUGAACAGGCACCAGCCUCCUUGUAAUUCUUUUCCUGUCACUAGAGGACUCAGGACACAUAUGUGCCUUUCAAAACAGGUCAGGAAGAAAAGGGAGAAGCAGCAGCAAGGAGUUUUCCCCAGAGAA